UUUCCUAUUCCAAAUUCUACUUUUCAUUUUCUAUCCCUUCCACCUGUAGCUAUGUUGUCGCCGCAUGCUAACUCCACCUUUAUCAGUUUUCUUCUUUGGAUGAUCAACAUUAUUGGUUUAAUCAUUCCAUUUCGUGCUUUAUCAGCUAUCAAGAGUACUAUUUCUUCCUUUCCUUGCUUUGAUUGCACUGUUGCUUUUUCUGAUUUUUCUUUUUUCCAGCUGAGCUCUCUGAUGGAUGGUGUAAGAUUGCAACACUCUAUAGGAACCAAUCUCCUGGCAGCUCGUCUUUUCAUCUGGUAAGUUGUACUGCUGUAGUUAGAAAGUUGAUUUGAAGUUGUGCUUGGCGACAUAAAUUUUUAAAAGUUGAAUGUAGUUUUCUAAAUAUGAUUUAUGUCGCCCUUCUAAUUUCUAAAAAUUAGUAAAAUCACUUAAAUUGAUUAAUUUAUCUGAAAUACACAAUUAAAUUUGUUUUCCAAAAGAGUAAUAUCACAAAAUAUAUAGUCACAAUAUGUUAUAUAUAUAUAUAUACAUACAUAUAUUGGGUGUAAAUGGGUAUUCAAAGUCGAGUACUUAGUCCCAGGAGUUGUUGAGAGGUACAAAGCCAGAUUUGUGGCUAAGGGGUUCAAUUAGAAGGAAGAAUUAGACUAUACAUAGAAUUUCUCUCCUGUGGCUAAAAUGGUCACAGUCAAAGUUUUAGCAGUUGUAGCCUCCAAAAACUGGCCAAUCUUUCAGAUGAAUGUUCAUAAUGCCUUCUUACAGGGUGAUCUUCUUGAAGAUGUCUAUACUAUUAUACCUCAAGGCUUUUGUAGUCAGAGGAAGUCUGGCAAAAUCUGCAAGCUACAUAAGUCUUUAUAUGGGUUAAAACAAGCCGUGAGGCAGUGGUAUCUCAAGCUAACCACAACCUUGUUACAACUAGAAUUUGUCCGAAGUCAUUAUGACUUCACUUUUCAUAAAAAAUAAAGCAAGUGAUCUGGUGGUAGUAUUAAUCUAUGUAGAUGAUCUCCUGGUAACUGAUAGAAGUGAUAGUCUAAUUCUCCAUACAAGAAAUAAUCUAAAGAUGAAGAUCAAAACGAAAGACUUAGGGUAAGUUAAAGUUCUUUCUAGGCAGAGAAUGUGUUAGAUAAAAAACAAUUAUUGUGAUGAGCCAAAGAAAGUAUGCUUUAAAAUUGAUAUUUGAAAUAUGAUUAAGUGGCUCAAAACUUACUUCAUCCCUUCUUGAAGCCCACUUGAAGUUAACUUUUGUAAAAUAUGAUGCUCAUCUGCAAGACUGCAGAUCAUCCGAAGAUAAGCCACUAACUGGUAUUGGAAGGUAUCAAAGGCUGACGGGAGGACUACUGUAUCUCACAAUGACUAGAAUUGAUAUAUCCUUUGUAGUUCAAUUCUUAAGUCAGUAUAUGCAUGCACCAAAGGAGUCACAUAUGGAGGUUGCACUCAGAGUAGUAAAGACAUCAAAUUUGCACUAGAGCUAGGUUUGUUCAUGCCCUCACACGUUACCAAUGUGUUUAAUAUGUUCUGUAAUUCAGACUGAAGAUCAUGCCUAUAGACUAUAAGGUUAGUUACUAGGUACUUAGUGAAGUUUCGAGAUGUCCUGGUAUCAUGGAAGUCCAAAAAAUAAGUAAUUGUUGCUAGAAGCUCAGCUGAAGCAGAAUUUAGAAGCAUGACUUCAGCUGUAGCAGAAGUCACAUUGUUGAUUGGUGUAUUCAAGGAACUAGGAGGGGAAAUUAAGCAACCUGUAGAUACCUAUUAUGAUAGUAAGGCUGCUAUUCAAAUUACAGCCAAUCCAAUCUUUCACGAAAGGACAAAACACUUUGACAUUGACUCUUUGUAAUAGAAAAAUUGGUUCAAGGUAUGAUCAAGAUACAUCAUGUUUUAACCAAGAAACAACAGGCUGACUUGCUCACUAAAAGUUUAAGAAAGACAAAACACAUGUAUCUAGUUUCCAAGCCGGGCUUGAAAGACAUCUUUUCAAGCAUCAGCUUGAGGAGGGAUAUUGAAAGUAAUGAGAUCAAAUAAACAUAUUUAGUUAGCAUUGUGUACAGUUGUAAAUGAAUAAGUUUAUGUGUAGUUGAUCUAAGAGUCGGUUACCUGACCCAUGAGUAUAUAUUGUAGAGUAGGUAGCACAUUGUAACUAACUCAAAUAUUUUUUCAAUACCAAUUUCUCUCUCUCCCCCUCUCUCUCUCUUUGAGUUCUCCCUUUCCUUAAUGUACUAUUUCAUUGUUUUUUUUUAAUCUCCAUUGAUUAGAAUUCAUCAUAUGUGUAUGUGUGUGUGUGUGUAUAUAUAUAUAUAUAUCGUAUAUGAACUACUACAUACAAUUAUAAAUAUUCUUUCAAUUUAUUUGAAAUGCUUAGAGUUGAAGAUGGAAUGUUGUAUCAUAGAAUUUUUGCAAAUAAUAUUUGAAAAAUAAAAAAAAAUAUCAUCGUUUUGAAAUGAAUCUUUAUUGACUGCCAGUUUAGUUGGGUUUGGGGAUGCAGGGUGGGUCUGAUAGUGCUGUUGAACCUCUUUGUUCUUCAUGUCUCUCAAUAACUUUUUCCCUUAAAAAUGGUGUAGAUCAAUCAGGGGCAACAUCAAACAUGUACAACUAUGCUUGCUUAUCAUUUAUUCGGAAAAUUGGGUGAAUUUUUUCUUUGGCAUUCAUCAAACAACUGAUGAUCAAGUUGUUUUAAUCUUUCGCUUUCAAUUGUGCUCUCAACUAUGUCGUCAUACGUACCAUUGUGACGCAGCACAUAGGCACUAUCUGUUGGAGUCCCACAUCAGUGGGUUAAAGGAUCCUUGGUCUCCUUAUGUGGUCUUGUACAAUCCUCCCCUCAUGAGCUGGCUUUUGAGGUUGAGUUAGGCCCAAGGUCCAUUUCUUUAUCAUGGUAUCAGAGCCAGGCCCACUCAGUUCAUUGUUUCUGAUGUUAGGCUCCCCAUCUUGUAUUGUCCAUACUCCAGAUGUCCAGCCCUGAGUGUGCGGGGGAGGGGGGUGUUGGAGUCCCACAUCGGUGGGUUAAAGGGUCCUUGGUUUCCUUAUAUGGUCUUAGGCAAUCCUUCCCUCAUGAGCUAGCUUUUGAGGUCGAGUUAGGCCCAAGGUCCAUUUCUUUAUCAUGGUAUCAGAGCCAGGCCUACCCAGUUCAUUAUUUCCGAUGUUGGUCCCCCCAUCUUAUAUUGUCCACGCUCCAGAUGUCCAACCUUGGGCGUGCGGGGGGUGUUGGAGUCCCACAUCGGUGGGUUAAAGGGUCCUUGGUUUCCUUAUAUGGUCUUAGGCAAUCCUUCCCUCAUGAGUUAGCUUUUGAGGUUGAGUUAGACCCAAUGUCCAUUUCUUUAUUACUAUCACCUUAUUCAGACGGUUCCACUUCCACGGUUUGAGGUCUUCUCCCAUUCACUAUCAUAAUCAUCACCUACAAUAAUAUAUUCAGUAAUCGACAUAAUAAAUCAGUAAUGAUCGAAGCUACUAUUCACUACUUGAUGAUUGUAAAUUAAUUUAAAAUAAGAAACCACGUGGAUAGAUCUCUUAACAGAUAAGAUGCGCCAAUGAAAUGAUGAAACAAACUACCAUAGUGUCGCCAAAAACAAUCGAAAAGAGGCUGCUGAAAAAAAUAAAUUUCUUCUAUAAUGGAUAAUUUUUUUCAAGCUACUACUAUAAUGGAAGGCUAUAAAUGACUGAUCUUGAGCAGUUUUUUGUCGUGUGGAGUAAUUUUUUGAUAAAAAUUUUAAUUUUUUGUCGGAAAAUCGACCUGUAUGAAGUGUUUUUGAAGGAAAAAAAUAAUUUUGUGAUUUUUUAAAAAUUUCUAAAUAAGGAUAUAAGAUAUUUAUAGUAAGUGGUUAGUUUGUAUCUUCUAAAACUUUGAUGCUAGGAUUGAAUAUGUUACAACGAAAAGGCUCAAAUAUGUCAUCAAACUAUUAGAAAUAGCUCAUCCAUAUCACCUGUUAAAACUAUGCUCAUUUAUACCAUCUCCAUUAAAAGUUUGGUUCAUCUAUGUCACUACCAUUAUAAAAAGGUUGUUUCGGACGAUUAUUUUUUAACGGUAAUUUUGCAAAACUAUUUUUGCCACAUGAAUUUUUAUUAGGUGUCCACAUCAUCAAAUCUAACAAUCAAUAUUGCUUAAAAUUAAAAUAGAAAAUUUGACUCAUAAAAAUAAUUGACACAAUUAAUGAGUUCGAUUUUUAUGUUUAAUGAGUCUAAUUUUUAUUUUAACAUUGUGGGUCAAAUUUUAUUUUAACGGGUUUAAACUUUAAUUUUGAUUAUACGUAAUUUUGUCGAGUUGAAUUUGGUGACGUGGAUCUCUAAUAAGAGGCCACAUGGCAAAAAUAAUUUUUACAAAAUCAUCGUUAGAAAGGAAUGACGGGACCUUCUGUACCGACACUGCAUAAAUGAGCUAAUUUUUUAAAAACUGUGGUAUAAAUAAAUCAAAAUUUAAACGAAUGACAUAUUUAAAACAUUUCUAAUAAUUCGAUAAUAUAUUUAAUUUUUUUCCCUAUAUUAUAAGACUUUGGUGAUAGGUGUCUUUUUAUAUUCUUUAGACUUGAAUGCAAAAAUGUCUUGUUUUGAAAGUUCAAAUGAUGAGAUCAUAAAUGAUGGCGUUUUCUCCAAUCAACUAAGACUUGUAUCUACAAAAUAAGUUGAUAAGGACCCGUUUGGUCAUGAAAAUUAACAUUAUAUUUAUUUUAUUUGGUAUUUUAAAGUUGAAAUUAGAGUUGGAAUUGUGUUUGACCAUAGUAUUUUGGAAAUAAGAAUCUUAGAGUGAAUUUAAAAAAAAUAAAUUAGAGUUUUAUGAAAAUUGAGUUAUUUUAUGAAACUAAAUAAUUUAGAUUUUUUUGGUAAAAAAGUAAAUUAAAAAAAUACAAAAAGUGAAUCUUAAAAUAAUGAAAACACAUCUCGAGCUAUUUUUAUUUAAAAAUAGUAAAAACAUAUUUCAAAAAUAUUUAUGAUCAAAUAAGUAUUUUAUAAUAAAAUAAAAAUAUAUUUUAAAAUAUUACCAAUAACAUGGGUCAAGCACCUACUUAUAAGGAAAGAGUUGACAUUGUGUCCACUUUGAAAACUUAUUCUGUUAAAUAGCUGCUAAAUUUCAUUUUCAUUUAAUUUUUAGGGUUAGAGUCCAAAAAGUGAAAAAAAAGUGGAGUACACAUGUGGGCCAAUGGAUCUUUUCAACAUUUUUAAAAUUUGGGGAAUUAAUUAAACUACACCUAACAUACUCCACUUCUUUCAAUAUUAAACUAAACCUUUUAUCUCUCCUACUCAUUCCUCCUCUUUCUUCUACUUUCAAGAAAAAACUCCCAAAUAUUAUUUUUUCUUCAUCUUCUUCUCCAACGGCAAAGGUUUCAGUUUUUUAUACUAAAAUAAGUUAAUAUAAAAUUCUAAUUAUUUCUAGAUUCAUUUUACGGUAUUUUAUUUGUUAUUCGUUUUGUAGUGAAUUCUUGUAUAGGAGUUUGUUUUUCAAAAAAAGCUGAGAAAAAUGAAGAAGAAUUAGUUAAAAUAGAUGAAGAAGAAGCAAACAAAGAAGAAGAAUCUGAGAAAACAGAUGAAGAAUAAAAAGAAUAAAAAGAAGAAACAGACAAAGAAGAGGCUGAAUAAGAGAAGAAAAAGGAGAAAGAAGAAUGCCAUACCCUUUUUUACCCAAAAGAAUAGAUUUUAAGUUUGAAAGGACUUUUAUUAUUAAGUGACUACAGAUGAAAAUUUAUUUUGAAAAGGAUUUUUAUAAUUAAAUUCAGUGUCACCACUUGACAUAAAUCUGGUGUGCCAAGUCAUCGUUGGAAAUCCUUUUUCAAAAAUGGUUUGAUUCUUUAAAACUGAUCCACAAACAGAGAUUUCGAUUAAGAAAUUCUGUUGAUCGAGGGGAAGGUGUUAGGCACCUCUCGAUCCCGUGGUUCGACCACGGUCGCUUUGUAGAGUAUAUCAGCUAGCAUGAAACUAUGAAUGUAUAAACCCACAAACACAUAAACACGAAAACAAACAACCAAAACACUCAAAGUCCAAAAAUAGCGUCUAGUCCAAUUUAUUACAAACCAAAAUAAAAUACUGAAAUUAAAACCUAAACCAUUCUAACUAUGCUUUACCCGAUGCCUCGGGCCUUGAUUACGAACAUCUUUCGCCUACAUAAUACAUCGGGGCAUUCCCCGGUGAAUGAAUACAAAUGACCUGGGGGCAUUCCCCGACAAAAUGAAUACAUUUUUUGAAUGUGAAAAAAACAGAAUCAUUCAACAAACAUUCCAAACAUUCAAUAAUCCACAAUCCCUAAGUUUUGCCUACCCAACCUAAAGUUUGCCUAUCGAUGCCCGACCUAAGACAUGAUACUGUCAAGUUCGAUGAAUUUAACAUCCAUUUCAAAUCAAACCAACCAAUUAAUCAACACAAGCCAAUAUUCACUUUUGCCGAUUUUCAAUCCCUUCUCCCGAAUAGCUUUUCAAAAGAAAUUUCUUACGUGAGACAUGGUUAUCCAACCCAUACCAACAUCAAACUCAUACCACAAUCAAUUAUCCAUAACAAGUAACAUCAACGACAACAAAAUCACCCAAUCAUCAUCAUCUAACACAUAAUCAUAAAAUUAAUUUCCCAAAUUUAAGAUGAAAUAAAGAGAAAGAGUUGAAGAAUUGAACCUCAAUUAUCGAUUUCAAUAUACCAAAGAUAGAACUGUGCCCAAAAAACGUCGAUUCGAACCUCGACACGCAGUCCAAAUUAUAACUCAUGACUCGCAACCCAUUUUGUGCCCAAACCCAACUGUUUUCGAUGGGUUUGACACUAGACUUGACCGACUGUUGCUGUUUCCAGCGAGGAGAUGCAGUUUUUCGGCGAUUGAAAGAUCGUCGAAACAGUAGCGUGAAUGAGCUGUUGUUUCUCUCCUCUCUCUCUCGCACAAUCUUUAUCUCUCUCAUUUUUCUCUUCUCCUCCGACCAGAUAUCUAAUGGGUAUGCGUAUCCUUAAAAUCUGGUGAAGGUAACAAUAUCGGCCAUAGCAGCGUGUGUGUGAUUUGUUGUUAGUGAGUUUCAAUCCUCUUCUUUUUUUCGUCUAUUGUGUGCAGCUGUAUAAGUAUGAAAAUGGAGGAAUUUUUGUGAUUAUUUGUGCCUCUCUACUGUGUGUGUAUGAAAGAAGGAAAAAUGGAUAAUUGUGGUUGUUUGUGCGUGUGUUCUCUGUUCUGUGUGGGAGUGUAUGUUGUAUUAUUUUUUGGAUGACAGGUCUUUUUGGUGGGUGGGUUAGGUGAGUGUUUGGUGAGUGGGUUGAGUGGGAUGAGAUAGGUGGUGUGGGGUAGGAAAAGGUAAAAAAUAAGAAAAAUUUAAUUUUGCGGGGACAAAAUUACGUGUUUAUAUUAUGUCCCUCUUUGGAUGUAAACACAAAGUGUUUUCAGACAAAGAAGUAGACAACAAGAUAAAAUUUUGGCCUGACCAUUAUUCAGAAGAAAAAAACAUAAGGAAGAAGGACAACUGAGUCUUGAUUUGGACAUCCUACCUUUCCUAAAUCAUGUAAGGAUCAGGUCACAGGUAGUUCCAGGGUUGAAAAGGAGGUACUUUACCGAGUUGGAGAGUCGAGUGAGGUCCCAUUGAGGUUCCGAUCUGUGGCUCUAUCAUUACAGCAAAAUAAAAAUUACAAAUUAAAAGAUAAAUGAAAUUACAAAAAGUCCUAUCUAUACAACAUCUCUAUAUUCUUGUCUUGGGUCUCUGAUGCUUUCAAAAGUGACAAAAGAUCUGAUCUUUUUUGGAUUGAACUUGAGAAUAGAUUCUUUCUUCAUAAAAAAUUUGGUGCGGAGAUGAACUCAGAAAUGAACCAUGUUCUAUCAGUGGUGCUUUUGAAUUUGACCGUAAAUUUGAAAAUCUUCACCCUAUUCUCCAGGCGGGCUUCUGACUUGCAAUUUUUCACCUUGUUUUUUAUUUUUUUAUUUUUUCACCCUGUUUUCUAGGCGGACUCCUGACUUUCAAUCUCUUCACCCUAUUCUUCAGGUGGGCUUCUGACUUUUAAUUUCAUCACCCUGUGCUUUAGGUGGGCUCCUGACCUGCAGUUUUAUCACCCUAUUCUUUAGGCGGGCUUCUGACUCUUAAUUUUUUUAUCCUACUCUUCAGGCGGGCUCCUAACUUUUAAUUUCUUCACCCCAUUCUUCAGGCGGGCUCCUGACUUUCAACUUCAUUACCUUGUUGUUCAGACGGGCUCCUGAAAUCAAACUCAAAACUAAAACACAAACUAUCUUGAAGAGUUAUAGUAUUGAAUGAUUCCAUUUUUCUGAAAAUAAAACUUCAUUUUUUUCGAAGGGUCCUGAUCGGAAAGUAAAAUCUCAUUUUCCAGGAGGGUCCUGAACGAAAAGUAAAGUCCCAUUUUCCAGGAGGGCCUUGAACAUAAAGUAAAUUUCUAUUUUUCAGAAGGGUCCUGAACAUAAAGUAAAUUUUCAUUUUCCAGGAGGGUCCUGAACAUAAAGUAAAUUCCCAUUUUUCAGGAGGGUCCUGAACAUAAAGUAAAUUUUCAUUUUCCAGGAGGGUCCUAAACAUAAAAUAAAUUUUCAUUUUUCAGGAGGGUCCUAAACAUAAAGUAAAUUUUCCUUAUCCAGGAGGGUCUUGAACAUGAAGUAAAUUUUCAUUUUCUAGAAGGGUCCUGAACAUGAAGUAAAUUCUCAUUUUUCAUGAGGGUCCUGAACAUGAAGUAAAUUCAUAUUUUCCAGGAGGGUCCUGAACAUAAAGUAAGUUCUCAUUUUUCAGGAGGGUCCUGAACAUAAAGUAAGUUCCCAUUUUCCAAAAAGGUCCUGAACAUAAAGUAAAUUCCUAUUUUUCAGGAGGGUCCUGAACAUAAAGUAAAUUUCCAUUUUCCAAGAGGAUCCUGAACUGAAGUAAAUUUCCACUUUCCAGAAGGGUCCUAAAAAUGAAGUAAAUUCUUAUUUUCCAGGAGGGUCCUAAACAUAAAGUAAAUUCCCAUUUUCCAGAAGAGUCCUGAACAUGAAGUAAAUUUCUAUUUUUCAGGAGGGUCCUGAACAUAAAGUAAAUUCCCGGAUGUGCUUUUACAAAGGUAGCUGAAUUAAGUGAAGUGAAUUUUGCCCCUGUUUCAACAAAGAAAGUUUGUCAGUUAAAAACUUAGUGGUGGUUUGCAGCACUUGGCUUUCCAGGCACCUUUUCCAGUGUUCAUUCCCUUCAUUUUAUUUCAGAUUGCUGGCACUUGUCCCUGCUUUGUUGCGUCAUUGACCAAAAUUAGAGAAUGUGUCUUUUAGGGGUACGAAAAUGAUGAGUUUUACCAUAAUUGUAAUUACCAAACCAUUAUAGUAACGCUGCUCUUGUAUUUACAGAAAUGAGGAAUUGCACCUCUAAAUAUUCGCGUUUUGAAGCCUUUGAUUUGAAGGUAGCGACUGUUCAUGUUUUAUACAAAGAAAAACUUAUGAGUUUAAACAUGGUGGCUGGCUUACGGUUUUAGCUUUUAAGGCGAUUGCUCCGGCUCUUCUGACAUUUAAUCUUGCUUUCAACUAAUGGCACAUCAUUACCUUGCUGCACCAUUGAUCCAAACUCAGGUUAUUAUGAGUGACUCUAAAAUAAACACCAUAUCUCGGUUCUGCUAUGUUUCAGAAAAAUUCCCUGAACCUUGGUGUUUCCACAAAUCACCAAACUUGCCUUUUGACAAGACUUUCUGCAUGCCUUGUUUGAGUUCAUGAUCAUGUUUCUUUCAUGUAGUGGCCUUUUCCGUCUUGCUUUGUGCAAAUGAAGAAGUGGUAACAAGUUGUGAAAUCCUUUCUCACUUAUUUCAAUAUGGACUUGACUCAAACACAUGAGAGAGAGAAAAAAUGAAUUUUUGUUCGAAUAGCAAACUCAAAAGAGCAAAAAUAGAAAUAUAAAGAAAAAAGAAAAAAUAAUAUUUGUCCUUUUUAAAAAAAAAAUUAAAAAAAGUUUGGAUUAAGCUGCCUGAUUUUUUAAUCCAAACUUUCCACCAAUGGUUGUUAAGUUAAUAACCUUGAAAUCGAGUUGCUUCCUUAGGUCAAUUCCACUUAUAAACCUCAUUCGACUAGUGACACCUUGAAGGGUUUUGCCAACAGACCUCUCUCAUUUUCUUUCUCUCAGCUCAUCAUUGCCCUAAGGUAAUGAGACUCCCUUAUUUUCAUUUCUCUCAAUCCGAGUGUCUGUGAGGAUUUUCACCAAUCAGACUCUCAUUUUCAUUUCUCUUAGCUUACCAUUGUCUUAUAGUGCCCGUAAAGAUUUUCACCAAUAAGACUCUCUCAUUUUCUCUCAACUUAUCAUCGUCUUAUGGUGCCCGUGAGGGUUUUCACCAAUAAGACUCUCUCAUUUUAUUUUCUCCUGGUUCCUUAUGCCGCAGAAAACAAGUAGUACCUAAAUGCAUCAUCACAUCAAUUGCAUACUUAGCCUUAACAUUUUCAAAGAUUGAUUUGAAAGUUUUUCUUUGGUUGUAACUUGGACUUUGGAUAUGGUUAGAAAUAAAGGAUGACAUGCGGUCCAAACGACACUUGAAGUGGGGUUAGACUUACAACUUUUGGAAUCGAAUCAAACAAUGAGGAUUAACUCAUGCUCCAAUUUCUUUUGACUGGGCAAUUCUAAAUUGUUUAUUUGGUUGGACCGAGCCCAGGGUAGGGCUGCCUACAUAUCUCACCCCCGAGAGAGGAGAACCAGGUUAAACGUAGUUUCGGUAGCUUGUUCUUUUACUUGAUUCUGAAUUCUCUUAUUUUUUUAUUGGCUUUUUUUUAUCUCUUUGAAAUCUUUUCUUAACUCUAUUUUUUAACACUUUUUUCUUUUUUUUUGGACACAUUUUUUUUUCUUUUUUCCUUUUUCUUUUUUUUUGAACUUUGUAGACUCUAUUUUUUACUCGACACUUUUGAACUUUACUAACUCUAUCUUGAUUCCAAAAGAGGGGUAUGAAAGAAAAUAGAAUUAAAGUUCAAACGGGGUAAACAAAGGAUGACACAAUGUUUGGAUAGCAGAAUGAAAUGCCUUCGUCAUAUCAAUUCUUAAAAAUGCAAGUACGUAACAUGCAAUAUGAAAGUGGGAGAUGCAUGACAUUUAACACUAACAUGACCUGAGCAUGUGCGUCAUUACUUUUGCACUUCUCCAACAUACCACUCCACCUUUGUUGUACAUCACUCACAUCAAAUAACCCAUAUUUUUGUGGAGCUGAUUAUCUUCUUUUUUCUCUUGAUAUACGAAUCACGCGUCUAUUACUUGACAUAAUUGAGAUAUGCUUUUCAAUGGAUGACCAAGUUAUUCUUGUGAUUCUCAAAAUAAUUGUCUUAAUUUUGAAAGAAGGAUUCAACGUGGUCACCAAAUGUCUCAACACUCUACCAAUUCCUCAGAUGCCUUUUUUUAACUUUAGCCCUCUGAUUCAACGUUUCAUGAUUAAACUGAAUUUUAAGAUCUGGCUGAAAAUUUCGCAAGCAUGUCAUAACACUAGAACCAACAUAAACUGUAAUCGUAUAAAGAAGACAAACAAACAACUUAAAAAAAGACAAAACGACAAAGGACAUCACAUAUCAUUGAAAGGAAAAAUAGAAGGGUUUAAACAAAGACGACAGAGAAACAAAACGCGAUAGAUUUUGAACUACAACCCUAAAAUAAUUUGAAAAACAGAAAGAAAAAUAAAACAAACUACCAACAAUCCUUCUAAGUAAGGAGAUGAGUGACUUCCCAAUUACAGAGCUUGACAUCUUAGCCAUUGAUUUGCAUAUCAUCAUGACUAGAGCUUUCACCGCUAUCCGACACAUUCCCUUCAACAUAUAAGUUCUGGAUCCCCAUACUUGACUCGUUGCUUCCCACAUAUUGUGCAUUAUCGUGUUUGGUGAAGAAUUUUAUGUGACCUUUGUAGUGUCAAUGUUUUGCACUAUGAUCAAUUUUUCUUGAAUCAUCCUUUCUAUUUCUCUUUUCAAAGUACUACAACCUUCAAUAUUGUGACCCUGAACAUUAGAAUAAUAUGUACAUCGUACAUGAGGAUCAAAAUUUCUUGAAUGUGGAUCAAGAGUACACCCAAGGAGAGGAGUGAUCAUGCCCAAGUCUCUCAAUCUAUGGAAUAAACUGGCAUACGACUCCCCAAUUGGUGUAAAAUUAUCCCUAGGUUUCUUGUUAAGAAAUUUUGGUGGUCCAAUUAACAUUGAUAUGGGCUCAGGAAUAUAACAAUGAUCAUCAAGAGUAGGGGUGUUCAUGGAUCGGUUUGGAUCGGUUAUUGGUCAAAAUCAUAACCAACCAACUUAGUCGGUUUUUAAAUUUCUAAAACCAAACCAAACCAACACAAAAAAAUAACCGUCGGUUUGGCUCUUAUCGGUUUAGUUCGGUUCGGUUUGGUUUGUUUUUUUGGUUUAUAACUUUAGUUCAUGAUAAAAGUUAAAAAUUUUCUUUAAAAAAUCCAAUACAACAUAUGAAAUGUCAACCGAGUGUUGUUCCUCAAUCUUGAAACCAAGAUGUCAAUUUAGUGUUAUACUUAGGCUAAACCAUGAACAAUACCAUAUGAACGCUUCGACAAAAGUAUUUAGAAACUACAUAUAAGAGAGAUAUGAUAAACCCCCCAAAAGGUAAACACAUAAAUUUUUUGCUCAAUAGGGACCAAAAAUAAAGUUCAAAACUAGUGAUUGUCUAUGGUCUAAUAAAACUCACCUAUAAAAUCUCAUAGACAACAAGAUAAUUUUCACAAUUAGUAUCAUUUGUCAUUCAAAGUGCGAAAAUCAUAUAGAAUCUCAUAACGUACCAGUUGAAUGGAGACAUAUGACUAACAAUGGUAUGACUAAAGUUAAAUUCAUGAUUAAAAUUUAAAAUAUAAAAAAUAUUUAUAUUUUAUUUAUGAAUAAUAUAUAAAUAAUUUAUAUAUGCAUGUGUGUAUACAUAUAUAUAAAUACAUACAUAUAUAUAUAUAAUAUUUUUAUUGAUUCGGUUUGGUUAUUUUGUUGGUUAUUUUAGAGUAAAACCAAAACCAAACCACAUAAGUAUCGGUUUUAGAAAUUUAAAACCAAACCAAACCUAACCAAAUAUCGGUUUUUACUCGGUUUGGUUUGGUUCGCGAUUCGGUUUGGUUUUUAACCAGACCAUGAACACCUCUAAUCAAGAGUAUUGAACAUACAUUCACUAGCGGCCUGGGGAAGCACAACUGUUGGAUAGAUAGCCAAUGUGGAAGCCUCAAUAGAGGCUUGAUCAACAAAAUCACAAACGAUAAGUGGUGCUAUCAAUGUGGCAGAUUUACAACAAAGAGUUAGAGAAUGAGUGAUGGAAGCAUUGGAAUGCUUUUGUCUUGGAGUGAAUUCUGAGGCAUGUUGUGGUGCAUCAACAACAGUAGGAAAUUGACUUCGUAAUUGUGAUGGAAGACUCAAGAUAUUUGCGAGGUCAAUAACGGAGAAUGAGGGAGGAGGCAACCCACUAGUCCAAACUCGGUGCAUUUUCAUCAUUUGUUGUCUUAGUCUCACAAUCUCUUGCUUUAAAUUCUCAUUUUUCUGACACUUUCUCUGAUCCAUGAUGUCACUUUCUAUAUCCUUGCUGGACAUGACUAACUCUUCCUUAGGCUUGGUGUGAUGUGGAGGACCAGCCACAAUGCCACAAACCAACCACCUUAAACUAAUUGAACAAGAGAUAAUAAAUGCGUUAGAAUUUAAUACUUUCUCAAAAAAAUUUUCUCUUUUUUUUAAAGAUCACCAAACCCAAGAAAGAUGCCUACGUAUCUCACUCCCGAAAGAGGAGAAUCAGGUGUGCGUAGUUCGUGAAGUUUGGCCAAAAAAUAACCAAUUAAACUCUUUUUUUUUCUUGAACUUUAAGAAGAAAAUAAAUUGUCAAAAAAAUUGAUGAAAAUCCUUUUGAAUUUUCUUUUAGCUCUAAAAUUUCUAUGCAAAAUGAGACCUACGAUUACCAAAGAAAAAUCUUUUUGGAUUUUUUUUGAAUUUCAUACGGAAAUGAAACUUGAAACUAUUAAAGAAAAAUCUUUUUGUAGUUUUCUUUUAAAGAUAUAUAUGAAACACCUACUCUAAAUGAGGAGUGCAAAAAAUCUUUUGAGAUUUUUUAAAUAAGAUCACCGAACCCACGAAGGGCUGCCUACAUAUCUCACUCUCGAAAGUGGAGAAUCCGGUGUGCGUAGUUCGUGAAGCAUGGCCAAAAAGGGCCAAUCAAACUCUUUCCUUUUUUCACUUUUUUGUUUUUGAUGAAAUUUUAGUGUAAAAGGAAAUCUUUUUGAAUUUUUUGUUUUAAAUCCCCUAUUCGAAAUGAAACCUAUGAUUAUCAAAAGAAAAUCUUUUUGUAUUUUUCAUAUGGAGACAUACAUGGCUUAACUAAUCUAUUAUCAAAUAAAUUCUUCUUGUUUUCAAAAGAUAUUUACACAAUAUUUUUGAAUUAAACCUAAAAUUAUUGAAGAAAAAAUCUUUUUAUAUGUUUCAGAUGAAUCAACAAGCGCAUACAAUUAAUCUAAAAUAAAGAAAAAGUCUCUUUUUUUUCUUUUAUCAUUAUUUUCAAAAGAUGCUGACAAAAAAUAUUUUUUAAUUUUAUCCCAAAUUAAACCCAAGACUAUUAAAGACAAUCUUUCUAUACUUUUUCAAAGACGUAUGCGAAACGCCAACAUCCAAAUAAGCGUGAAGAAAAUUUUUUGAUUUUUUUUUAAAAUAAGAUCCCCUAACCCACCAUGGGUUGCCUACGUAUCUCACCCUCGAAAGAGGAGAAUCAGGGGUGUGUAGUUCGUCCAGAUUGGACAGUUAAUGAAUAAAUAAUCGACUGAAUCCUGACUUGAGAGACACGACCACAAACAGACAAUGCAAAACGCUAAUAAAAUCUUUUUUGAGUUUUCAGUUUGACACUUCACAUAAAACUGACACCAACAACUAUGAAAGAAAAUUCUUUUUGAUAUUUUCGUUAUAUGAAAUGUACAAAACUUCUGCCAUUUUUUUUUAUUUUCUGUAUAAAAAGCUCCUAUUAAAAUUUUUUUUGAAUUAUGAAUGCUUAGUAAAGAAAGUAAAAGGAAAAUCUUUUUGUUGUUUUGUUUUUUGAGAAAUGAGUAUAAAAGGUAAAAAAAAUAUUUUUUGAAUUUUUAGGAUUGUGAAGAACAAAGCCAUAAAUAAACUCUAAAAAAUUAUGGAACUCUUUUUGACUCACUUUUCCUUUUCUUUUCUUUUUUCAAUUUUUCCUUGCCUACACACUUUCUUUAAUUUUAGCUCAUGAUUUUUCCCUAAAUCAGUCCAUCAAAUGACCCUAUUACCCUCAAAGAUGCAAUAAUUAGCACGUAAGGAUGCUUUACGGGUGAGUCUCCUAUAAAGGACCAAAUGAGUCCCACUAGGUCUCAAUAUGAUGCAGAUAAGCAUGACCUAAAGGCUGACCUAGGCUGGAGUCCACUAACAAGGCUGUUUGGGGGAGCGUAUGGUCGAUAGUGGCUGCGAGAGCUUUCUACCCACUCCAUACGUUCGACGGCUCCCCUACCUAAAAUAAGGCUGACUCAACUAGAGUUCGUGUACACGACAUGUACUCCGAAACUGUUUGCAAAAGAAAUAACUCGGGUUAUACAAAUAAUGACAGAUAUAAAGUGGUAACACAUAAAGAAAAAAUCGUAAACAAAGAGAACGUAGGCAUCCAACAAUGAUAACACAAAUAAUAGCACAAAAAAAAUGUUUAUACACCUAUGGUGUCAAACUGAGCCGAUACAACUCAAAAAAUAAACUCGAAUUCUGAAAAUUUCCCAGCAGAGUCGUCAAACAAUCACACCCCUUUUUUACCAAAAAUAAUAGAUUUUAAGUUUGAUAGGGCUUUUAUUAUUAAGUAACUAAAGAUGAAAAUUUAUUUCGAAAAGGAUUUUUACAAUUAAAUUCAGAGUCACCACUUGACAUAAAUCUGGUGUGUCAAGUCAUCAUUGAAAAUCCUUUUUCAAAAAUGGUUUGACUCUUUAAAACUGAUCCACAAAUAGAGAUUUUGAUUAAGGAAUUCUGUUGAUCGAGGGAAAGGUGUUAGGCACCCCUCGAUCCCGUGGUUCAACCACGGUCGCUUUAUGGAGUAUAUCGGCUAGCAUGAAACUAUGAAUGUAUGAACCCACAAACACAUAAACAUGAAAACAAACAACCAAAACACUCAAAGUCCAAAAAAUAGUGUCAAGUCCAAUUUAUUACAAACCAAAAUAAAAUACUAAAAUUAAAACCUAAACUAUUCUAUCUAUUCUUUACCCGAUGCCUUGGGCCUUGAUUACGAACAUCUUCUGCCUACAUAAUACGUCGGGGCAUUUUUAGGUGAAUAAAUACAAAUGACCUAUAACGCCCCAAAAAAUGGGUCCCGAAGCGUCACACGGUGCUUGAGGCUACGAGUAGCCCCAAGCUAACCUUUUGAGUCAUUUUCAUUCAGUUCAACAUAAAUCAACGGGGUUUCCAUAAAUAACCCUCAAAUAUCAAGAGUAAUCAUCAUUCAAGAAUAAAAGAAUUUCAGAAAGAUAAUAAAAUACGACUUAUUAGUCAACUCCCAACAUCUAUACUAGUUUGACAAGCCUCUAAGAAAAUCAAUAAAAUCANNNNNNNNNNNNNNNNNNNNNNNNNNNNNNNNNNNNNNNNNNNNNNNNNNNNNNNNNNNNNNNNNNNNNNNNNNNNNNNNNNNNNNNNNNNNNNNNNNNNNNNNNNNNNNNNNNNNNNNNNNNNNNNNNNNNNNNNNNNNNAAUUACUGUCGAACCUGGAACUGAGCACCUAAACCUAUAUUUCGAGAUAAGGCAGCCAACAUCUGAAGAUAUGGGUCAGUGCCAUGGAAAGGAACCGAGUCUAUGUGGGUGUAUGCAGUUGUAUAAACAUCAUCAUCAUAAAUAUUUAUAAGAAAUAUGCAGGAUGUAUGAAAGACUCACAUAGCCCGAAGAAAAUCAUCAUAAUCAUGAGAGGAUGAAAUAAGUACAAUAACACAUGUGAGUCAUCAUAUAAUUUGUCAAUCACUUUCAGUUCAUCAAGAAUAUCAAUUCUCAUAAUGUAAAUAUCAUUUAAAUCUUUCGAAAGAAUAACUUUCACAAUUCCACUUUCAAAUCACUUCACCAUUCACCAUAGACACAAGGAAACACACACACACACUCUGGGAGAUCCUAUAACCGACAUAAACCAUGUAAACUACAUGGAGUUGAACAUACAACCCACGUUGGGGAGAGCCAUCCUAUNNNNNNNNNNNNNNNNNNNNNNNNNNNNNNNNNNNNNNNNNNNNNNNNNNNNNNNNNNNNNNNNNNNNNNNNNNNNNNNNNNNNNNNNNNNNNNNNNNNNNNNNNNNNNNNNNNNNNNNNNNNNNNNNNNNNNNNNNNNNNNNNNNNNNNNNNNNNNNNNNNNNNNNNNNNNNNNNNNNNNNNNNNNNNNNNNNNNNNNNNNNNNNNNNNNNNNNNNNNNNNNNNNNNNNNNNNNNNNNNNNNNNNNNNNNNNNNNNNNNNNNNNNNNNNNNNNNNNNNNNNNNNNNNNNNNNNNNGGUCAAACAAAUCAUCUAUUCUCGGAAGGGGGUACUUAUUUUUUAUGGUGACUUUAUUCAGUUGGCGGUAAUCAAUGGACAUACGCAAAGAGCCAUCUUUCUUUCUCACAAACAACACAGGAGCACCCCAAGGAGAAACACUGGGCCAUAUAAAACCCUUAUCUAGUAGAUCUUUGGGCACAAGAGCGAAAGAGAGUUCUUGUUGAAAAACCCCACAUACCUUGAAUGAUGAACUUUAGAUCGAUAUUUGUUUUUGAGAUGUUAAUCGUGCCUUUGAAUGAUGGUUCUUGGAGUUCUUGAACUAGGAACUUGGAAUCUUGAAUAAAUUUGCAGAAUUAAUGGUGAACUUUGGAGGUUCUUGAAGUUCUUGAACUAGGAACUUGGAAUCUUGAAUAAAUUUGCAGAAUUAAUGGUGAACUUUGGAGGUUCUUGAAGUUGGAUGUAAGAGCUUAGGGUUUUCUUUUUGAGAGAGUUUGAUGAAAUAUAACAUAUAGUGCUUCUAAUAGGCUUUAAUAUAGGGUUUGGACGGAUUUUGGGUGAGGAGGAAUGACCAAAACGCCCCUAAAAAUCAAAAAAAUUCUCGAAUCUGUCCUUUGGUGGACUGUUUUGAUAGUCUGAAGUGGAUCAACUAUAACGUUUUACUCCAAUAUUCAAAUUGGAUGAAACCAAUUUCAUUAGAAAGAGGACUCCCAUAUCUUUACAUUGAUAUAUAGUAUCUCACCCAGAUUAUUGUGUACGAGGAGUUAUGAUCGUUUGAAUUGACCCAAAAAUUCACUUUUGAUAGGCUGAAGUAGAUCGACCAUAACCUUUUCCUCCGAUAGACAAAUUGGAUGAAACCAAUUUCAUUAGAAAGAGGACUCACAGAUCUUUUCGUUGAUAUAUAGUAGAUCACCUAGAUCAUUAUGUACAAGGAGUUAUGAUUGUUUAAAUUUGGAGCAAAAAUAAGCCAGGCCUCAGUACUUUUCCUGCACGUUUUACUGUUCACUACUAUUCACAAUUCGAUCGAAAUGUUCAUAACUCGUUGCUCGGGUGUUCGUUUUUGAUGAUCCACAUAUCGUUGGAAAUUUUAUUCGAUACUCUACGCAAUGGUGGGUCAUAAUCUAAGACAUUUUGCACGAAAAAUUUAUAAUUCAUUCUAGAAUAUAGAACCCAACACGUUUAUGUACAAAAUUUCAACGAAAAAUUUCCCGGGGUAUUACAUGACCUUGGGGAAUUCUCCGACAAAAUGAAUAAAUUUUUUGAAUGUAAAACAAAAUAGAAUCAUUCAACAAACAUUCCAGACAUUCAAUAAUCCAUAAUCCCUAAGUUUUGCCUACCCAACCUAACAUUUGCCUAUUGAUGUCUGGCCUAAGACAUGAUACUGUCAAGUUUGAUGUAUUUAACAUCCAUUUCAAAUCAAACCAACAAAUUAAUCAACACAAUCCAAUAUUCACUUUUGCCGAUUUUCAAUCCCUUCCCCCAAAUAGGUUUUCAAAAGAAAUUUCUUAUACGAGACAUGGUCAUCCAACCCAUACCAACGUCAAAUUAUACCACAAUCAAUUAUCUAUAACAAGUAACAUCAACGUCAACAAAAUCAUCCAAUCAUUAUCAUCCAACACAUAAUCAUAAAAUAAAGAGAAGGAGUUGAAGAAUUCGACCUCAAUUAUCAAUUUCAAUAUACCGAAGAUAGAACCGCGCCCGAAAAACCUUGAUUCGAACCUCUACACAAAACCCAAAUUAUAACUCUUGACUCGCAACCCGUUUUGUUUCCAAAACCGACUGUUUUUAUGGGUUUGACACUAGACUUGAUCGGCUGUUGCUGUUUCCGUCGAGGAGACGUCGUUUUUUGGCGAUGAAAAUAUCAUCGAAUAGUAGCGUGAAUGAGCUAUUGUUUCUCUCCUCUCUCCCAUGUUCAAUCUCUCUCUCUCUCGUUUUUCUCGUCUCCUCCGACCAGAUCUCUAAUGGGUAUGAGUAUCCUUAAACUCUGAUGAAGGUAACGAUAUCGGCCAUGGCAGUUUUUGUGUGAUUUGUUAUUAGUGCGAGUGUCAAUCCUCUUUUUUUUCGUGUGUUGUAUGUGUCUGUAUAUGUAUGAAAAUGGAGGAAUUUUAGUGAGUAUUUGUGCCUCUCUACUGUGUGUGUAUGAAAGAAUGAAAAAUGAAGAAUUGUGGCUAUGUGAGCGUGUGUUCUCUUUUCGUGUGGGAGUGUAUGUUGUAUUAUUAUUUGGAUGGCAGGUCUUUUUGGUGGGUGGGUUAGAUGAGUGUUAGGUGACUGGGUUAGGUGGGAUGGGAUAGGUGGGUUGGGUAGGGAGAGGUAAAAAAAAUAAGAAAAAUUUAAUUUUGGGGGGACAAAAUUAUGUGUCUACAAAGAAUAGAAAAAAAGUAACAAAAAAAAAGAUAAUCAUGAUGUGGUGAUGGAUAUCGUUAAUUUCAUCAACGAUAGCAUUUGUAUUAAUGAGAAAAAAGACAUUUUAAUGGUAAUGUAGUGAAAGUAUAAGAAAAUUUUCUUUUAUUUAGGCAACAAAUGAGUUGAAUGACCAUUAGAUGAUAUCACAAAUAAUUUUUUUAUUUAAUGAAAGUUCUUUGAAUCCUGUAGUGCAUAUGUUUUUAUCAAUCUAUGUUGUUGCAGGAAAUUUGAAUAUGCAUUAUGUUAUCAUAGAUGAUACAGUGUAUGAUUAACGCCGGAGAAUGCAUUUUAAAUUUUUUUAUACUGCUAGAAUAGUUGAUUAUUACCAUGCUAGUCAAUUUUAAGUUGAUGUGUAGUUUGAUCGAUUAUGAAUAACAUUAUUAACAUUCUAGUAAAAUAGAAAUAUUUUUAUUUAUUCAAUCCCACUACAUUCAUGUUACACCUUUUCAAACAAUGAAUACUAGCAUUAUACCACAUAACAUCAUUUUUAGGCCAUUCUUUCUUUCUUCGGUCAAAAUCAACUUUUGUCUUAGUUGAUCCCUCUCUAUUUGGAUUUCUUGUAGUAAUACUUUCAAGAAAUCUUUCUGCUCUUCGUCUUUUUGAACAAUGUCACGAGGAAAUCUCUAUUUUCUUCGUAUUUUCGGAGACUCUAUAGUAGAUUAAACUUUACAACACCAUAAAAAUUUGAUGUCUCAGGUCUCAGACUCAACGUUGAUGGACUGAUUGGGGGUGAUACCUCAUCAAGCCAUUUAAAAUACGAGCAUGCACCAUUAUCCUAAAAAAAGUUAAUAAUUAGAUUAUGAUUUACUUAAUUUGAAAAAAAUCAAACACGAUUCACCUUCAUAACUAUACAGUUAUAAAAUCUGCGAUCUGAAUUUUAGUCUGUGCAUGACGUCCUCGAGACAACCGCAUUUUUGUAAUGAAAAAUUAUAUUUUUUUUAAUUGGAUGUUUGAUAUGCUUGAGACAUUGUAUAAUUUUAAAACAAAAACAAAGUAGAGGAAUUAAUGAGGGAUAGAGGACUUUAUAUAUGGAGUAAAAAAAUGUUAAAGAAGUAUAAAAUUAGUCAUUUGUUAUCGUUAAAAUAGUAAUUAUAUUGUUUGAACUAUUGAAGACACGUAAUAGACUGACAUCGAUCUUAGCCUAUGUCAAUCCUCGAUCAGACAUAUAAGUCUACCAUAGACCCGAUGAAUUGAUGGACCCUUAGUAGCAACAACAACAACACAAACCCAGUAUAUUUUCACAUAGUGGGGUCUGGGAAGGGUAAAAUAUAUGUAGUCCAUACCGCUACUAUCGAAGAAGUAGAGAGAUUGUUUCCGAUAGACCCCCGACACCCUUAGUAGCAUGUUGUUUAAAGGAAAUAAUUAAAUAAAAAACACUACAUUCAUGUUACACCUUUUCAAACAAUGAAUACUAGCAUUAUACCACAUAACAUCAUUUUUAGGCCAUUCUUUCUUUCUUCGGUCAAAAUCAACUUUUGUCUUAGUUGAUCCCUCUCUAUUUGGAUUUCUUGUAGUAAUACUUUCAAGAAAUCUUUCUGCUCUUCGUCUUUUUGAACAAUGUCACGAGGAAAUCUCUAUUUUCUUCGUAUUUUCGGAGACUCUAUAGUAGAUUAAACUUUACAACACCAUAAAAAUUUGAUGUCUCAGGUCUCAGACUCAACGUUGAUGGACUGAUUGGGGGUGAUACCUCAUCAAGCCAUUUAAAAUACGAGCAUGCACCAUUAUCCUAAAAAAAGUUAAUAAUUAGAUUAUGAUUUACUUAAUUUGAAAAAAAUCAAACACGAUUCACCUUCAUAACUAUACAGUUAUAAAAUCUGCGAUCUGAAUUUUAGUCUGUGCAUGACGUCCUCGAGACAACCGCAUUUUUGUAAUGAAAAAUUAUAUUUUUUUUAAUUGGAUGUUUGAUAUGCUUGAGACAUUGUAUAAUUUUAAAACAAAAACAAAGUAGAGGAAUUAAUGAGGGAUAGAGGACUUUAUAUAUGGAGUAAAAAAAUGUUAAAGAAGUAUAAAAUUAGUCAUUUGUUAUCGUUAAAAUAGUAAUUAUAUUGUUUGAACUAUUGAAGACACGUAAUAGACUGACAUCGAUCUUAGCCUAUGUCAAUCCUCGAUCAGACAUAUAAGUCUACCAUAGACCCGAUGAAUUGAUGGACCCUUAGUAGCAACAACAACAACACAAACCCAGUAUAUUUUCACAUAGUGGGGUCUGGGAAGGGUAAAAUAUAUGUAGUCCAUACCGCUACUAUCGAAGAAGUAGAGAGAUUGUUUCCGAUAGACCCCCGACACCCUUAGUAGCAUGUUGUUUAAAGGAAAUAAUUAAAUAAAAAAUAAAUAAGCUAUGAAAAUUUACACAUAUGAAAGAGUUUAAACAAGUCACAUGAUGAUGUUCGAGUACACACAAUUUUUGGGUGGUGAUCGAAGGGGUAUGUGGAUUGAGGGUCCAUUGAUUCAUCCGGUCUACCGUAGAUGUAUAAGCCUGAUCGAUUAUCAACAAUUGUACAAAUGAUGAUGGACUCCAUUGUUCUAUCAACUUGGUUAUAGACCCUCACAAGCAUGCUAAAUUUAAAGAAAAUUAUUAAAUAAAAAGAAUUACAUUGUGAAAUUUUACACUUAUGAAGGAGUAUAAACAAGUCAUGUGAUCAUGUAAUAGUCCACACAAAUUGGGGGUGGUGAUCGAUUGGGUAUGUGGACGGGUAGUGUUUGAACAAACAACAUCCUUAGAGUAAUGUUUGUCAAAGCACAAGUAUGUUGCGAGGAUGUUAAUUGUCAACUACUACCCAUCCACAUACCCCUUUUAUCACCACCCCAAAUUUGUGUGGACUAUUAGAUGAGCAUGUGUCUUGUUUAAGCUUCUUCAUAAGUGUAAAAUACCAUAAUUUUUUAUUUAAUUAUUUUCUUUUAAACAACAUGUUAGUGAGGGUCUACCGAUUCAUCUGGUCUACGAUAGACAUAUAUGUUUGUUGAGAAUUAAAAGUUGUCAACAUCGAUGGUAGACCCAAUAGUUUUAUAGGAAUGGUUGUAGACCUUCACUAGCAUGUUGUUUAAAAUGAAAUAUUUAAGUAAAAAAUAAAUAAAAUAUGAAAAUUUACAGAUAUGGAGGAAUUUAAAAGAGUCACAUGAUCAUGUUAGAGUUCACAUAAAUUGGGGUGGUGAUCGAAGGAGUAUGUGGAUUGGUAGUGGUUGAACAAUAGACAUCCUUAAAAUAUAGUUGUGCUUUGACAAACAUUACUCUGAGAAUAUUGUUUGUUCAACCAAUAUCCAUUCAUACACCCCUUUGAUCACUACCCUAAUUUAUGUGGACUAUUACAUAAUCAUAUGACUUGUUUAAACUCAUUUUUUUAAUUAACUUUGGGAAGUGCCCUUUUUAUUAAUCAAUUAAUAAGUCUGUACAAAAAUAGGCUCAAUUGAGCCCACAAAAAAUAGUCCAGCAAUAAAAGUAAAAUCAAAAGAGGCUCGAACACUAUGCGGGUCAGGUCCAAGACUUGACCCUCUAUAUAAAUGAGUAGAUGAGGAUUUCCAAAAUUAGGCAUUCCAGCAACCUCCGAAAUGGCACCGCUGGAAGCUCAUUUCAAUGUUAGCUUCAUCUUGCUCUAGAUUUGGGUUAGCAACAUUGUUGGGGAUGAGAUUAGUGUACAAGCUUCUCUUCAUCAGUUCACAAAGGUAAGUCCACUCCCUCAUUCUUCUUUUCCUGCUUUUCUUUUGAUUGCUCCAUCUUCCGACCAUGUGUUAUUAAAUUUUCAAAUGUGUCUCCCUGUGGAAAAAAAAAACUAUGGUAAUUUUUGAAGAGGUGUUGAGUCAUGGUCUUCAAUAGAGAUUGAACAUGUGAGUGUAUAAUCCUUAAUACCCCAUCCUCUUUCUUCUUUCUUUGAUAUUUCAUACCUUCUAUCUUUCUUAGGUAAAUGGAGGGGAUAAACAAGAUGCCCUAGAGCUCUUUCUCAAAGUUCUCUUGUUAAUUGACUGCCUAAAAUCAUCACAUAUGAUUCCAUGGCUCUCUAUUUUGCUGAUGACUCUUUUUAUAAGCUAACAUAGCUUAGGCUAAGUAGCUUAGUGCUCACAGUUAUGUAGCCCUAUGAUUGGCAAAACAUUAAGUUAAUAGCAUAGCUGUGAGGCCUUGAUAUGAUGUCUUUAUGUCAAUUCAUGCUGAAUGAUGUUUAUUUUCCUUGUUUUAAUUCUCAAUGAUGCAAUUUGUGCCUUAUCCAUGUUCAAAAUUCCUUUGCUCUGUGUUGGUAAUUGUUGAAAAGAUUGAAUCAGCAUGUGUUGCUUUUGAUCAAUUGUCGUAUUAGCUAAUUUGUCUGCAAAUUGAUUAGCUUCUCUAAAAAUAUGUCUGAAAUCAGUCUGUAUCCCAUGUUGUAGUUGUUGUAUUUCCUCAACUUUUUCCACUAUUUGCCAAGGGAUCUUCCAUUGUUUUAUGACUACAUUCUUUAAACUGAGUGAAUCGGUUUCAAAAAUGACUCUGUUCAGCCUUUUAUUUUUGCAUUCCCUUAUACCAUUUAGUAGAGCGACUGUUUCUUCUUCCAUUUAGUUGUGAAACCAACUACCCCUGCUUCUGCAAAUGUCAAAUCCCCUCUAAUAUCUCUGAUGCAGAAACCAAACACACUUUUUCCUGGGUUUGCUCUACUUUUCCCAUCAUUAUUAACUUAACCCAAUCUACUUCUAGAAAAUUCCACCUCACCACACGAUAAUACAAAGUUGGCUUGUAUCUCUGUAACUUUUGAACCAUUCCUUCCCAACUUUUAGGUACUUCUAACCAAGGGAAUCUUAAUUUGAUAAAAUGAUAAAUAGUCAUUAGACUCUGAUGGCAGAGCCUCUUAUAACUAUAUAUUUUAUCAUGUCUCUUUCUCUUCCAUAAUUCCCAUAAAAGAAUACGAGGGACAAUUUUUAAGACUGCUGUUAAUUUGCCUGAACCCUUCUUCUCCCACCAUUUUGUGAUAAUUUAUUGUAGAUACAAAUUCUCCACCUGAAUACCCGCACAUGUAGCAAAUUGCUUUCAUAGUCUUUGGGCUAUGGGAGCGAUUAGAAAAAGGUGAGACAUUGUCUCCUGUAGAAAGUCCUUACAACAAUAGCACCUUAAGAUAAUGUUAAUUUUCAUUCUUUUGAGAUUGUCUUCAGUUGCUAUUCUCCUCUUCCAAAACCUCCGAUGAAAAAAAUUUAUAUUAAAAGUUAACCCCUUUAUCCAGAUAUUGGUCAACCAAUGUUGCUCUUCUCUUUUGGCUCUCACGAUUCUAUAAGCUGGAUUUACUGAGAAACAUCCACUAUCAUCCCCCAUCCACCAUGUGUUAUCAUUAAUAUCCUCCACCAGUCUCGGGAUAAUAUGUUCUAUAAUAUGCUCAAUUAUAUCCACUGAAAUGGUAUUCAAUAGCUUAUGUUUGUCCCACUGUCCAUUCUUUAUAAAGUGCUUGACUUCAAUUUCCCCAUCUCCUCUUAUUUCAUUCUCCAGAAAAUACAAAGCACCCAACUUAUUCCAAUUAUCAAACCAAAAACUUGUAUUUCCAGACUUUAUCUGCCACCAUAUCUCAUGCUCCACUUCUUCUCUUACUGAAAUCAUUGUUUUCUACACUUGUGAAGCACCUAUACCUCUAGCAAUGGUAGGAUGAAGUUUUUUGCAGUAUUUAUUCCACAUAACUUAGCAAACAAAGCUCUUGACAUAUCUUUUAGUGAUCUAAAAUCCACUCCACCUUCUUUUUGAGGAUAACACAUCUCCCCUCAACAGAUCCAAUGCUUUUCUUUUUCUCCUUCUGAUUUACUCCAAAAGAAUUAAGCAAAAUUUUUGUGUAACUGCUCUACAACAUUCCUUAGAGGAUUUAAUGUUGAUAGAAGAUAGAUUGGCAUGGAUUAUAGCACAUGCUUAAUAAGAAUAAAUUUACCCCUAUAGGAUAAGAAUUUAUUCUGCCAAGACAAGAUUCUUCUAGACACUUUCCUCAAAAUAUCUUCAUAAUGAGCUUUAUUCCUUCUUCCAUAGAACACUGGACAUCCUAGGUAUGUAAAUGAAAAAUUACCCAUAUUAAUACCAGUAAGUCUUCUUAGUCUUAUCCCGAUAGCCAAAGGAGUCUUCUCAUGAAGGUAGAAAAAACUUUUCUCCCUAUUAAUCAUUUGUCCUGAAAUCGGCUCAUAACCUCUAAGAACCUUCUUCAUCUUCUUAACUGACUCUCUAUCUGCUGAACUGAAUAAAAUUGUAUCAUCCGCAUAUGACAGAUGAUUUAUUUUUGGACUCCACUUUGCAAACCAUAACCUCUAUAAUUAUCAUUCUUGAAUAAAUUAUUUAACCCUCUUGACAAAACUUCUACAUCAAUUAUGAACAAAGUUGGUGAGAGAGGGUCACCUUCCUUCAAACCCUUUGAUGACUUGAAAAAACCAUGUGAUUGACCAUUAACUAGUACUAAAUACCAGUUAUCUGAAAUAAUUCUCCACACCAUCUCAAUAAUGACCUCGGAGAAGCAAAAUUUCCUCAAAACCUUUGUAAGGUAUAUCCAUGAAAUGUCGUAUGCUUUGGCUAUAUCUAACUUAACCAAAGCAUUAUGAAACUUAUUCCUCAUGUUUGUGUCUCUAAUGAUAUCUUGGGCCAAAAGAACAUUUUCUGUUAUACUUCUUCUUUUAAUAAAGCCAAACUAACUUUUAGAGAUAAUACCAGGAAGGACUGUUACUAACCUUUCAUGUACACAUCUGGAGAUGACUUUAUUCACAAAUGUGCUUAGGCUGAUUGGUCUCGCAUCUCCAAAAGUCUUUAUAUUCUUCGUCUUAGGAAUCAGAACUAGGUUUGUGUGAGUAAUAAACCUUGAAAGUGGAUGCCUACAGAAAAAAGCCUUAACCAUAUCAGUAAUAUCAUCACCAACUAUAUCCCAGCAUGACUGAAAAAAAUAUCUAAAAAAUCCACCUGGCCCACUGGUGCUAUCACAUUUAUCUCAAAGACCAGUGCUUUCACUUCCUCCCUGGUGGGUAAAGCAAUUAGAACCUCAUUUUCCUCCCUUGUAAUCAAAUGAGUAAUAUUUUCUAGCAUCAAAAAGUCUUUAGAACAAUAUUCCUCCAUAAAAUGAUUUGAAAAAAUGAGAUCGCCUCUUCCCCAAUAUUUUCAUUUAUAGUAACCAUGUCCCCCUGUUGGGUUUAAAUUUCAACAAUAUGAAGUUCUUUCCUUCUUCCCCUUACAUAAGAAUGGAAAAACUUUGAGUUAUUAUCCCCAUCCUUGAAUAAUCUUAUACCAGGCUUCUGUUUCCAAUACUCUUCUUUAAUAUUCCUGAAUCUCUUCACUUUUUCCUCUGCCAAACUCAACUUAGCUCUGUUCUGUUUUGAAGGAAAGAUCUCAAAUUGUGCCUCAUUUGCCUUUAUCACAUCUUCUAGAGUAGCAAUCUUCUUAAAUAAAUCUCCAAAGGUUUCCUUACUCCAUUUUGCCAAAGCCGUUUUUACUUUCUUGAUUUUUGCCUGGUAAAUCAUAAAAGGGCUCCCACAAAAAUCUACCUGCCAAUUCUUAUCGACCACUUCUUUAAAUUGUGGAUGUCUCCUUUGCAUUUAUCACUUCCUCCUCCGUGUUAGAAACUAUGUGAAGGGAAGCAUGGCUGGAACCUUGUCGUAUUAAAUGAUGGACCUUACUUGAAGGCAAGAUUUGUAGAAAUUCUUGGUUAACCAGAACCCUAUCCAUUCUUUUAAAAAUACAAUUGUUUUCCACUCUUCUAUACCACCAAGUGAAGUUACUGCCUUUAUAAUUCAGUUCUAUCAAUCCACAAUUAUUGAUACACUGAUGAAAAUCGAUUGAUUCAAACUGUGUAUAUGGAAGCCCACCCUGCUUUUCUUCUUUAUUGAGGAUCACAUUAAAGUUAUCGUCUAUAACCCACGGUAUUUAUUGAUUCUGUACUAUUGCUUUAAUAUAUUCUCAUAAUUUUGGUCUCUCCAAAGCAUUACACCUAGAACACACAAUAGUCACAAAUACCUCUACUAAAUUGUUUGUUAACCUUAAGAAAAUUUGCUAAAUGGAAUCUGAUACAAUCUCUAUAUUUCAUUUAUCCUCCCAAAAAAGCCAUAUUUUUUAUGAGCAAUUACUGACUGCUCCAUUUAGACUCAGUCUCCCUUUAUAAUGGUCUAGCUCUUCUAGGCCUUGAAAAGGUUCCAUUAGAGCUAUUAAUGAAUAAUGAUGCCUUCUGUGAAGACUUAUUAAUCUCUCAAAAGCGUUUUGACUAUUAACCGAUCUUAUAUUUCAAAAUAUGAUUUUACCUAUCAUUAAUCACUAUUGGAAUCUUUAUCCUUGCUACUCCUUAUUUGCACCUGAAGAGGUAUAACCUGUUUUUUCUUCUUAACACUACUCUUCAACUUCCUAAUUGAUCUUGGUGAUAAAUCACCUUCUCUUUCAAUUUGAUUAAUGUUUUCCUCCAUGUCAUCCUCAUCUUCAUUUUCCUUUCUAAUCUGUAUUUCUUCCUACAUUGGCUCCCUGAUAUAUGGAACACCAUCCACAUGUUGAGAUUUUUCCUUACUGAGAUCAUCAACCCGUUUGUUAGAUUUAUCAUCAUCAACCCGUUUGUUAGAUCUAGCUUCAUUGUUCCGUUCCUGCUGACUCCCUUCUGCUUCCUCUUUGUUAGAACUUGCUACAUCAGUUAUGUCCUUUUUAGACCUUUGCUUCUCUUUAUCAUUUGAUGAGCUUCUUUUACUUGUAUCAACUUCAGUGAUCUGCUUUGGUGUAUUAUGACUGGUAAUAUCCUUAAAGUUCUCCUGCACCUAUUUAUUUGUCGACUGGUUUUGUUCAUUAUCAUUCUUUUAUUGUACCUCAUUGCUCUUUCUCCUUAACUCCACCCUCCUCACUAUCCAAAGCUUCAAAUUAAUUGUUAGGAUUCUGCUGAGACUAUUUUCUGUUCCAUACUUGUUCAAUCCUUCAUCUACCUUGGUAUCUCCUUUUUUCUCCUCCCUUUCUUGCUCUUUGUUCUUUAAAUUGUUCUCCUCCUCCUUCUUUCUUCUAGUCUUUCUGUACUUCUUUAUGACUCUUCUGUUGUUAUUUACCUUCACCUUCCCUAUUAUCCUGUUCCUUUUCUUUGGUUGUCUUCUCCUCAUCUUUUGGGUAUAGUUUGGGAUGAAUUACAUAACAUUGUUGUUCAUUAUGUCCCUGAAUCAUACAUGUCUUGCAAUAUUUAGGGACAUAAUCAUAUUAAAUGCUUAUCUAUUUUUCAUUGAUCUUCCCAGAUUAUUUUCUUAACCUAACAUUGAUCCUUUUGGGGAAUUUUCUCAACAAAUCAACCUCCACUUUGACCCUUGCACAACUAGGUCAUGUCUGAUUUUUUAUGGCCAAAUCCACCUAUAGAGGUUUACCAACAACAACUGCUAAGGAAAAGACAGUCUCUUUCCCAAAAAAAUUUGGUGGUAGGGCUGGAGACAGUAUCCAAGCAAUGGCAGUAGUAGUUUUUUCCUCCGAAUUGAACAUAGGAUCCCACUUCAAAGUCCUCAUAGGCUAUGUCCAUCUUGUAUGCAUUAUGUAAAAGGUCGACUUAGAAAGUAAAUUGACAUAGUCCUCAAGAUUUGAAGCUCUUAUUAAAAUAUGCCUACUGCUCACCAAACCUAUAUUACAAUCCCCUUUAAUUCACAUUGUUUAGGUAUUAGCCGUCUGAGAUCUUGAAUAUCUGGUCAACCAUAAGAAAAUUUUCCUAUGACUGCGUAUUAAAGAUUUUCAUUCACAAUCAUCUACUCCACUUCUUCCUCCUACCAAAUUACCCUUGGUUCAACAUGCAAAAACGUAACUGGUUUCAAUUGAAUUGGCUAGCAUGGUUGCUUAUGUUUCAGUAAUGCUGCAUAAUUAUGUUGUGUAUCCAGAUUACAUUGCGAUUGGUCAACCAUAGUGGGAUAUUAACCUAGAGAAUUGGUGGUUAUCGCCACUGAAAAAGGUAAAAGACAGUAGGGUUUUUCGGUGGCUAGGAUUUUUUUCUUUUACUGAAUUUGGAUGUUUAAACUCCUUCAUAUGUGUAAAAUCUCAUAAUUUAUUUAUUUAUUAUUUAAUUAUUUUCUUUUAAACAACAUGCUAGUAAGGAGUUUAAAACCAUAUACAUAAUACUAUGGAGUCUACCAUCGAUCUUUACAACUGCCAAUAAUCGAUCAAAUUAUGCGUCUAUGAUAGACCGUAUGAAUUGAUGGACCCCAAAGUACAAGUAUGUUUUGAGAAUAUUGUUUGUUCAACCACUAUUCACUCAUAUACCCCUUCGAUCACCACCCCCAAUUGUUGGUCAAUUUCCAUAAUUUAAUUUUUAUAUUUAAUUGUUUCAUUUUAAACUACAUGAUACUGAUGGUACAUCGAGUCAUUUGGUCUACGAUAGAUCUAUAUGUGUAGUUGAGGAUUGACAAGGGCCAUGUUUGACGACAGGUCUUAUAAUAGUAGCUGGUCAUUCGUAGACCGAAAGUGUUGUCUGUGAUAGACUAUAUGUGCGAUCUACAUAUAUUAUCAAACAGUUAAUUCUUCGUAUAUUUUAUCAAGGAAGUUCACUGUUAUAUUUAUUAAUUGAGCAAUAUGAAUUUAAAAAGUUGGCAGUACAAAAAAAGAACAAUCAUAAAGAAGAAGUUAAUCAAUAAAUAAAAAAUUACAAAUAAUAGGGCAAAGAUAAUUAACAAACUUAAAUCAUUAUAUUGAUGUUGUUCAUUGCAAAUACAUGCAUUUAACCAAUACCAAACCAGCAAAAAGAGCAAAAAGAAGAAGUUUUCUUCUAACAAAAAUUCUAAGAAAGUUUCUUCUGCAAUGAGCAAAAAUAAAAAUAAAAACUACCAAACUAAGGGGAUGGUGGGGGUCAUGUAGUCGUUGGCUUUCAGACCAAGCCUAUCUAGAAUUGCCCAUAUAAAAUGAUCUAUCCAACGUAGUUCACAUUCAAGAUAAUGCAAUCCUAACCCAUCCCGUAGAAUAGGUGAUCGAGGUCAUUGCGGAGGAGAAGAAUGUCGUAGUCACGAUGGGUACUCAUUCUCUUAAGUAAAAGAGAUAAACCGCAAUAGAUAAUGUCACCUUAGUAAAAGUUUUUCAAUUCCAACGUUUGGGAGUCUCCUCCUAUUCUCCCAUGAAAUCACCGGAAAUAAGAACAACCUCUACAAUAGACGUCCUAGAAAUACACUAAAGUUGAUCCUCGAUUGUGCUAAUGGUAUAUGCUUAUUCUAUGAAUGGUUAAUGACUGCGCAGAUAUCUCUAUAAAAUAAUAAAACUGCAAAUAUUGCUUCUAAUCAACGACCGUUGGGUUUAUGGAAUAGAGAAACGAAGUUGGAGUCGUCUGAGCUACUGUAAUGUACUUUCUAAAGAGGUUUUAAGUAAUGUAAGUGAUUUAAAGGCUUUUUAACAAUGAUGGAAAGUGUGUUUGAAAAGAUAACAAAUAAAUGGGUUUGAAAAGAUAACAAAUAAAUGGGGUAACAAUGGAUGCAAUGGACAAGAUUAUGAUGUUCGUGGACUAAUUUUGAGCUGAGCGUCGGAAAAAAUCGUCGGAAUUGUGCCUGGAAUAGAGAAUUUUAAAGGAAAAUCGAGAGCUUCUAUUUUAAGCUUUUGAAUUAUUUUUUUCUAAUUAUUUUGAAAAGAUAUUUUGAAUAUAAUUAUAGAUGAGAGGAGAGAGGCUAAAAUAUAUUAUUAUAAACUUGUGUGCUAGAUUUACUAACUUAAAAAGAAAAAGAUGAUGACAUCAUAAUUAGUGAGUAUUUGAUAAAUUUUCCAAGACUUAUAUCUCAAUGAUAAAUUGUAAUACCCCGCAUGUUUCUAAGCUAUUCCUACGUAUGAAAUAUCCUAUCCUGUGAUUCAUACUUGAGUACAUGACUUACAAUGAAUAUCCUAGUGAUAGGAUAGCUUAUGAUGCAUUAAGCAUGUUCAUAUGAGUCACUUAAGGUAAUACAAGCUAAGAGUUUUUGAAUCCAUCAAGUUUUAGUGUUCGAUUUUGCAAGGGUCAUAUUUCAAUGAGUAUAACUCAAUGUUAAUGUGGUAUUUUGGCUGAUUUAGACCCACCAAAUUAUAGAUAAUCGAAUUAACUUUCCAACGAUAUCAAUUUUGCCUUAAUCCAAUACCCGAACGAAAAGUUAUGCCCAUUUUCGUGAGAGACAGUAAGGAUAGGCGAUUGGUUAGGCGCCGCCCAACCAAACAUAAGCGAUUGGUUAGGCGCCGCCCAACCUAGAUUAGGCAAUCACUUGGGCGCCACCUAAGUCAGUUCCAGGUGCCAAAAAAUACUCCGUUUUGAGUUAUUUUAAGGGUAAUUAAGUCUUUUAACACUCCUUACAUGUCCCUAAACUUAACCUUACGAAAUAUAUAGCUUCUAAAUAUAUUACAACCCUAUUAUCAUCUCAAAGCUCAUCAUCCAAGAGCACUAAAAGAGAAAAAUAACUAGGGUUGCGUAACUAAGCUUGAAGAUCCGAUUUCAAGGAAAUUNNNNNNNNNNNNNNNNNNNNNNNNNNNNNNNNNNNNNNNNNNNNNNNNNNNNNNNNNNNNNNNNNNNNNNNNNNNNNNNNNNNNNNNNNNNNNNNNNNNNNNNNNNNNNNNNNNNNNNNNNNNNNNNNNNNNNNNNNNNNNNNNNNNNNNNNNNNNNNNNNNNNNNNNNNNNNNNNNNNNNNNNNNNNNNNNNNNNNNNNNNNNNNNNNNNNNNNNNNNNNNNNNNNNNNNNNNNNNNNNNNNNNNNNNNNNNNNNNNNNNNNNNNNNNNNNNNNNNNNNNNNNNNNNNNNNNNNNNNNNNNNNNNNNNNNNNNNNNNNNNNNNNNNNNNNNNNNNNNNNNNNNNNNNNNNNNNNNNNNNNNNNNNNNNNNNNNNNNNNNNNNNNNNNNNNNNNNNNNNNNNNNNNNNNNNNNNNNNNNNNNNNNNNNNNNNNNNNNNNNNNNNNNNNCAUGCAAGUAUAUACAUGUUGUGUACAUUCCCGAUCAUGUGAUAGUUUGUUGAGAAUCAUUCUUAUUAUGAAAGCCUUACUUAUGAUGUUGUGAAUUGUGGACUCAAAUCCUAUGAUCAAGUCAUGUCAUAUGUGUCAGUUUCCUCCUAUUGAGUCCUGGGGUACUUGUACCCGAAACUAUAGUUGUGUGCCUAGAGCCAUGUCAUGUUUCACGAUAUCCGAACUCAAGUUGUGAUUCCAUAGACUUCAGUUAGUCAUGUGACUCAGGAAAACCUCAUGAUCUUAGCCAGUUGUCAGAUAUCAGUAACAUUCCGCCAGUCAACGAAAUUCAGUAAGAUUAAGUCAUGCACAGUCAGUUUUUCAUGUCCAGUCCCUCUAGAUGGGAGUAGAGGUUAGCACCGAGUGAACCCAAGGAUGGAAACUCACCCGCCAGUUCAGGGUGUGAUUCUUAGUAGUCAUCCUUGUUUUCCAGAACUACGUAGCCAGCAUAGGUUGAUACAUCUUAACCCGUUAGAUUAGGGUUGAUAAGGUGGCUUACCCGUCAGUUUAGGGUUCCCACCAUUCUCAUUGAGUACCCGCCAGAUAAGGGUCACUCACAGGCUAUCCUUAUCCGUGGCACGGUAUUGACACCCCUCCAGUCAGGGCAGAGAUUGGACCCCAGCUUAGCCAUAACGGCAUACAUGGGGCAUGUCGGUUAAACAUUACUUUCCAUAGUUUCAGUAUUAGUCUCAAUAAAAGAACUCGGGGCGUUCUUCAGAUUUCAGUAUAUACAGGACUGUCAGAUACAGUCGUCCAUGUUAUCAAUUUCAGUAUCAGUCAUAACACUUAUCAGUAAAUCAUGUAUGAGCUUACAGGUCAUGCUAUCACGUAUUCACGUUCCCAGUUUCUAUAUAUAUGUGUUUGCACUCCCACGUUCAUAUUAGUCAGUCAGUGUUGUUCAUGCAUGAAACCCUUUAUGUUCAGCCUACCUUCCUCGUAUACUCAGUACUCCAGUUGUACUGACGUAUUUGCGUUAUGGUGCUUUCUUUUUAUGUUACACCAUAGGUUUUGAGACACGAGCUCCA
rnacentral:lncRNA from 1 species